GUCACUGAGAUUACAGGUGUGCACUACUGCACCUGGUUUAAAUCAGUAUCUUCUGAGUUAAUUUAGCGUCAGUGCAUUCUUCAUAGCCUAAUCAAAGCUAAGGACCAAAAUGUAUCAAAAAUGUUCUUCCUUUAAUUACAGUAUCUAUUGUACUAGACAUUCCAUUAAAGGCUAUCUUUAAAACAACUGUAAACUAUCAGUAGGCUAACUAUCAGUGAUAGGCAAUUAAAUUUCACCAAAUAUAGAGCUUUAAAAUCUAUAUUGUAUUUAGAAAAGAAAUAUAGUUUAUUAGUAUACAUGAAAAUAUACUACCUUCCCAAUACAUUGGUAUACUGAAUUGAUUUUACCAGAGGUAGCAGUCAAUUUGAUUUAGUCAUACAUACUCAUCCCUUCCCUUCAGGACCAAAUAUUUUCAAAACAAUUAGAUAGGGCUGGGAGUACAGUCUGUCAUCACAAGAACGAGUUAGCUUGUGAUGGAGGAGGGACCAUUACUUCGUCAUCAUUAACAUGAUGAUCUCUGGUAUAUGUUACCUCUGGGUUAUCUUCUCCUUUUUUAAAGUCAGCACUAUCAUCUUCCUACAACUGUGUAAGCCUUGUCUUUCACUAACAUCUGCUUAAAAUGUGUCUUCCCUAGAGUUCAAUCCUUGGAUGUGUUUCUCCCUCUGUGGCUUCUCUCUGGGGUUUUAACUACUUGUAUGUUGACUACAAAAUAUACUAAUAGCUUUUGGCUGAGUUGUAUUUUUCUAACCCAGAUCUUACUCAUGAGUUAUAGAUGCAGAUCUCUAGUAAGUACCAUGAAUACCUACCUAUCAGAAUAUGUAUCCUACCAUUACCCUCAAACUCAAACAUUUCAAAAGGGACCAUCUUUUUUGUUAAGGUAUUCUUCACCAGCAGUUCCCUUUAGUGGACAGCACUUCCAUGUACGUAGGUUCCUCAGACCAGAAGAAAUCUGGAAAUCAUCUCCCCUCUUCCUACCAGUGUGUGCCUGUGGUUUUUAAAUCUCCUGAAUUUCCCUUUCCUCCCUCUUCCACUUAUCUAUUCACUCCCUCAUUAUUUCUUAUCUAGAAACUAAGCCUCUAAACUUGCUUCUUUGCCAUGAUUUUCAUAGUCCCCAAAUGGUUCCUUUACCUUGUCACCAUAAUAAAUUUUUUUUUCUGAAAAACUAA